rnacentral:rRNA from 1 species
AGUGAACGCUGGCGGUAGGCCUAACACAUGCAAGUCGAACGGCAGCACAGUAAGAGCUUGCUCUUACGGGUGGCGAGUGGCGGACGGGUGAGGAAUACAUCGGAAUCUACUUUUUCGUGGGGGAUAACGUAGGGACACUUACGCUAAUACCGCAUACGACCUACGGGUGAAAGCAGGGGAUCUUCGGACCUUGCGCGAUUGAAUGAGCCGAUGUCGGAUUAGCUAGUUGGCGGGGUAAAGGCCCACCAAGGCGACGAUCCGUAGCUGGUCUGAGAGGAUGAUCAGCCACACUGGAACUGAGACACGGUCCAGACUCCUACGGGAGGCAGCAGUGGGGAAUAUUGGACAAUGGGCGCAAGCCUGAUCCAGCCAUACCGCGUGGGUGAAGAAGGCCUUCGGGUUGUAAAGCCCUGUUGUUGGGAAAGAAAAGCAGCAGGUUAAUACCCCGCUGUUCUGACGGUACCCAAAGAAUAAGCACCGGCUAACUUCGUG